GGGCCUGUAGUUCAGUUGGUAGAACGUCCGCCUUGCACGCGGAAGCUCACCGGUUCGAAUCCGGUCAGGUCCA
rnacentral:tRNA from 1 species